UCGGACCUUCAGUUUUCUGUAGUUUUUUUCUGUAGUUUGUUUCUGAACCUUGUUUUCGUUCUCUUUUUUCAGAGGUGAAGGUGCGGCAGCCCGGUCUCGGACCUUCAGUUUUCUGUAGUUUGUUUCUGAACCUUGUUUUCGUUCUCUUUUUUCAGAGGUGAAGGUGCGGCUGCCCGGUCUCGGACCUUUAGUUUUCUGUAGUUUUUUUCUGUAGUUUGUUUCUGAACCUUGUUUUCGUUCUCUUUUUUCAGAGGUGAAGGUGCGGCUGCCCGGUCUCGGACCU